UUGAAGUUGCUGAUAAUUUGGGAAAGUAUUUUUGGAUAUAUUAUUACACAUUAGAAAUUAUUGGAGCUUUCAUUAUAAUGAACUUAGUACGUGGAGUGUUAAGUGGUGGUUUUAGUAAACAAAGGUCUCGAAUUUCAAAUCGCAAUUUUUUAUUAUCAAAAAUAGAAUCAAAAAUUAAACAAAUAUCUGUCAAAUAUGUUAAUUGGAUUGACGAAGCUGAAAAAGUUUUAGCAAACGAAGCUGAAAAGAAAU
rnacentral:lncRNA from 1 species